rnacentral:lncRNA from 1 species
AGUGGCUGGAGUGGAAGUGAGGAAGAGGGAGAGCUCCUGGGCACCAGAAUGAAUGGGGAGGGUCCUUUAGGGCACUGUGAGGCCAUUAGCUUUUACUCCUACUGAGACUGGACAUCCCAGGAGAGUUUCAGAGCAGAGAAGUGCUAUGACUGCUCUUGAAGUUUAAGAGGACCAGGUGGCUGGCUUUGCUGUGUGUCAGAGAACAGGAGCAGAAACAGGGAGACCAGCUGGGAGGUGACUGCAAAAGUCCAGUGUAUCAUCUUUCUUGCUGCCCUUGAAGAGUGGUGUCCAGUGAAUCUUUCAAAGAAUGAUACUGAGCUUCAUUGUUGAUGAACAAAAAUGCAAAUCUCACCCAGAGCAUGCAGGAACAUGCUAUAAUCACUACACUCCUAGAAUGUGAUCUCUUUCAAUAUUGACUGCAUCCAUGCCUUCCACACACUUGCACCAGUUGGGAGGAUGGAGAUGUCAUCUGGGCAGAGGGAGAAGAGCAGUACCAUUCAGAGGUCUGUCCCUCUUAAGAUAUAUUCUCUCUGUCAACCUAGAACUCAAAGGGCUGUGUGAAAAGUUUACUGUGGAAAAAGAAAUUGAAAAAACUGCCACUAAGUAGCAAUGGAAGGACUUUUCCCGCUAAGAUGAGGAACUGCUCAGAUCACCAGCUGCUUCAGGUUACCAGCCCACACCUGUCUGUCUCACCUCUGACAACCUUGGUAAAGAAACCAAGGCUUAGAGACCUGCUCACAGUCGUUUCGUGAGGGAAUGCAACAUCUGGGUCUAGGGUCCAAAUCUAUCUCUGCUGUGAAGAGGAACUCAUACAGGAGAUCUACAUGAUUACCAAUUCUUGGCCUUGCAGUGGAGGAUAUUAAUUUUAAGUACCUGUGAAAUGAAGUUCUUAAAACCUAAGAUUCCCCAAAACUCCAGUUAUCAACAAGGUUAUAUAGGAAUCAAAGCGAGGCGUUUGGAGUAGAUGCCGAGAUCACCUCUCCCUCACACCUCUGCUGACCCCAGCUACCUGCAAUCCUGCCAGGACCAUUCUGGAGUACCUUUCACUGAAGACAAAUUUAUUGUAAAAUUUCUACUGGGAUUCAUUGUAG